ACGACGUCACGACGAAUACAUUUGCUCGAAGCUCAUCACAGUCACAGAUGGGUGAAAGUUGUCAAAAUUGUGAAAAUUGAUCAGGUCCAAAGGAAUUUGGUGUUUCGGUCUGAUGUAUUUGGAUGGAGCUCCAGGGAUUGCAACUGUUGAUUUGUUUCAAAUAGCUUGGCUGAUAAGAUUUUGGUUCAACUUCUUUCUAAUUCAGUUUUUAACAGAGCCAUGGAAAACCUUCUGUUGCCAAAUUUGAUAGAUUUUUGUAUUCUCUUUCCUAGUGUUGGUCAAUGACUAACUAGCAACCGAGUCAUUUUAACCUGAGAUAGCACUUCAGUUUCGUUUUAUUGUUACAUAAUUUUCUUUAUUCAGAUUACUUUUUCACAGUUAAGUUAUGCUGAAUCUCCAAGAUAUUGAAGAGCCCGUAAAAUCAAAUUCUUUACUGCCACUUUUUUUAGUGAAAAAUGAGAGAAUGCACCCACUAAGAAGGUUGUAGUGACCACUACUUGAGUUCUAAUUUAGGCUGAUCUAAGAUUGAUUGAUAUGAGGAUUUCUUUUGGUUGCAACCGUCUGGUUUGACAUUAUUGUCAUCUAAUAAUUCUUCCAUCAGGCUGGUGAAGUCUUAGCUUCUUCAUUGCGUAGAGGUUGAGUGAGAACGGGAGGUGUUUCAUCAUUAUCAAGUAGAUACAAUAGCCACAAGCCAACCUGCAGAAGGAAAGGGGAGUUUGCAUGUCCAUCCUGCUCGAAGGUCACCGAGUUCAUUACGUAAAACGUGUCAUGCAGUGGUGUAGAGGUUGGGUGAGAACGGGGCGUGUUUCAUCAUUAUCAAGCAAGUACAAUAGAUAGCCGUAAGACUUAAGAGGUUAGGAUGCAAAACAAAAAUCGUAUAAAAGGAUAGAGAAAAGGAGGUAGAAAUCAGUCGCUUGAGUAUCUCCGACACGGCAACAACUGCAGUGUACUAUCUGUCACUAACUGCAUCCUCAUCCUUAUCGUGUAACCAAAUCGCAAUCAUGGCAGGUACAAUUGCCGCACGGCUCGAGUUGAAAGGUGAAUCCCGGGUGAAUCAGGAGAAGUCAAAACUUAUUAAACGAGAAAAAUGUCGAUAGAAGGCAGUCAAAUGAGCAUCUCCAACAUGGCAAAUUGGCAACUUCUAGUUCGCAUUAACCAUAGCGUCGUGCUGCUGCUGGGUGUUGUAUCGCCGAUGGCUGGGUGUACCAGGAGGUUGCUGAUGUCUCCUGGGUAUGGUGGAUACUAAGCAUCAGCAGCGAAAGAAUCCUUCACCACUUCGCUGCCUUUCUACACAAAAAUCUCAACAUACGGAACACCUACUUACUAAACAGAGGCCACCAAAUUACUACACCACCUAGGCUCCAGAGUAUUGCAAGAAGUAUUACUCUGCCCCGAACUACUGCACCGAUGCCCCCGAAGUAUUAGUCUGCCUUGAUUUACAUCACCAAGGUGCCUGAACACCACACUGAUUCUCCCAAGUACAUCACUAAAGCUUCAGACUACUACACCGAGGCUGCAGCCUUUUACACCACCAAAUAGGUCGAAUACUACACCGAAGCGCGCCUAAGUGCUACACUGCAACCUGCGCUACCCCAGCUUACACCACCAAGGCGCUGGAGUGUUACAUUAUCAAGACACGUUCGCAAUCAUUGGACGGAUACCAAACUGCCGCCUUACUACCCAAAAGCAACUUACGCAGCGACCAGUUACUGCGCCGAGGCCUUUAAGUACUACACCACCAAGGCACUGGAGUAUUGUGCCACAACUUACGCUGCUCCCAGCUACUACACCGACGCCCCGAAGUAUCACUCUGCCCCGACCCAACCUACACCACAUAGGCCGAGUACUACACGACUACGUAUACUGCCCCAUCCUAUUAAACCACCAAGGCCGUGUACUACACGACUACGUAUGCUGCCUAUUACACCGAGGCUCCCAAGUACUACUCGGUCCUCAGCUACUCACUACACUGAUGUCUAAAGUAGUACUACUCUGUUCCCAGCUACUACAACGAGGCUCCAGCUGAUUACUAAACCGAAACGGUUGAAAACUACACCAAAGCGCCCAAGAACUACUCUGCCCCGAUCUACACAACCACAACUUAGGCGGUCAAGUAUUACGCAGCCCUAACUUACUACACCUUAGAAGCUGCCUUUUCGUACUACGAUGAACAAAAAUACUACACUGAUGCUCCAGUUUGCUACACCGCUACCUAUGCUACACCUACCUACAACACCGAAGCUCCCAAGUACUACACCGAAGAAGCCGCAUAUUACACAAGUCAACCACGCCCGCCGCCCCAGUUUACUUCAUCGAGAAACUCAAGUAUUACUCUGCUCCAAGCUACUAUCAAACUAAGGCUCACAAGUACUACACCAGCAAGGCUCCUGAGUAUUACACCACUACUUACGCUGCUACGACCUAUACACCGAUGUUCCAUAGUAAUCCUAUGCCCCGAGUUCCUAAACUGCUAGAGCACCAACAUAUUACACCACAACCUUUCUUCUUCGUUUACGAUUCCGAUAGUUGCAGUCAUGAGGUUUGAUAUUGCAUCAUAUGUUGGUGAAAGAUUUACGAGCAUCAAAUUUGAUUCUGCCUGUUACUGGGUGUUAUUAUAUUCUACUUAUUGAGUUUUAAAAGUUGCAUUCUGUAUUUUGUUCAAUUGGUAUUUUGUCUAUAUCGGUCCGAUGCUAAAAUUUAAGAAGGAAGGAGGAGAAAGUUGGGGAGGGGAAGAAAAAAUAAUUUUCACAUUUCAAUUAAGCCGAUUAACAAAUAACAUUAAUUAAAAAUUCAUUUACACAGUAUAUAUUAUUCAAUGUCUAUUUUUACUCUAUAAAAAAGAAAUUCAUUAAUGACAUUUGUAAAAUAAUAAAUAUGACAAAUAAAAUUAUUCUGUCAUUAUACACCUUAAUACCUCAAAUCUAUCAAUCUUACAUUUCCCUAAAUUUAAACUUAAUCAAAAUCAACUCACCACAAUCUUUCAAUGUUGUCAUGCAAUUUUCUACAAAAUAAAUAACAGCAAAAAAUUA